rnacentral:rRNA from 1 species
UUGGAGAGUUUGAUCCUGGCUCAGGACGAACGCUGGCGGCGUGCCUAAUACAUGCAAGUCGAGCGGAACCAUUGGAGCUUGCUCCUUUGGUUUAGCGGCGGACGGGUGAGUAACACGUGGGCAACCUGCCCUGCAGAUCGGGAUAACUCCGGGAAACCGGUGCUAAUACCGAAUAGUUUGCGGCCUCUCAUGAGGCUGUACGGAAAGACGGUUUCGGCUGUCACUGCAGGAUGGGCCCGCGGCGCAUUAGCUAGUUGGUGGGGUAACGGCCCACCAAGGCGACGAUGCGUAGCCGACCUGAGAGGGUGAUCGGCCACACUGGGACUGAGACACGGCCCAGACUCCUACGGGAGGCAGCAGUAGGGAAUCUUCCGCAAUGGACGAAAGUCUGACGGAGCAACGCCGCGUGAGUGAAGAAGGUUUUCGGAUCGUAAAACUCUGUUGUGAGGGAAGAACAAGUACCAASUAACUACUGGUAC